rnacentral:sRNA from 1 species
AUAAAAGGCCUUUUAACUUUGUUAAGCUUUGUUUUCUUAUCUGUAAAAUGGAAAAGGGCCUGCUCUGCAUGGUUGCAGAGAUGAGUGAGUGUUAGUGUGCUUGACACUCUUCCUCUGAGGAAAUAGCACCCGUGGUUGCCAGUUUGUGGCUACUGGAGCCUCACAUGGCAUUUGGAGGUGUGGCUCACUACCCCACCCCCGCCUGGGGCUCCAGGCUAACCCAGGCAAAACUGUAGGUGCUCUCUGACCCUCAGUGUGCUCCCUCUCGGCCCACAGCCCCCGGUCCCUGAGAAGCGGCCCCCUGAAGUACAGCAUUUCCGCAUGAGUGAUGAUGUCCACUCACUGGGAAAGGUGACCUCAGAUAUGGCCAAAAGGAGGAAGCUGAACUCAGGAGGUGGCCUGUCGGAGGAGUUAGGUUCUGCCCGGCGUUCAGGAGAAGUGACCCUGACGAAAGGGGACCCCGGGUCCCUGGAAGAGUGGGAGACGGUGGUGGGUGAUGACUUCAGUCUCUACUAUGAUUCCUACUCUGUGGAUGAGCGCGUGGACU